GGGCCUUAUAAUGGGCAU
rnacentral:siRNA from 1 species